UUUUAUGGAGAGUUUGAUCCUGGCUCAGAGUGAACGCUGGCGGCGUGCCUAAUACAUGCAAGUCGAACGAUGAAGCUUCUAGCUUGCUAGAGUGCUGAUUAGUGGCGCACGGGUGAGUAACGCAUAGGUCAUGUGCCUCUUAGUUUGGGAUAGCCAUUGGAAACGAUGAUUAAUACCAGAUACUCCCUACGGGGGAAAGAUUUAUCGCUAAGAGAUCAGCCUAUGUCCUAUCAGCUUGUUGGUAAGGUAAUGGCUUACCAAGGCUAUGACGGGUAUCCGGCCUGAGAGGGUGAACGGACACACUGGAACUGAGACACGGUCCAGACUCCUACGGGAGGCAGCAGUAGGGAAUAUUGCUCAAUGGGGGAAACCCUGAAGCAGCAACGCCGCGUGGAGGAUGAAGGUUUUAGGAUUGUAAACUCCUUUUGUUAGAGAAGAUAAUGACGGUAUCUAACGAAUAAGCACCGGCUAACUCCGUGCCAGCAGCCGCGGUAAUACGGAGGGUGCAAGCGUUACUCGGAAUCACUGGGCGUAAAGAGCGCGUAGGCGGGAUAGUCAGUCAGGUGUGAAAUCCUAUGGCUUAACCAUAGAACUGCAUUUGAAACUACUAUUCUAGAGUGUGGGAGAGGUAGGUGGAAUUCUUGGUGUAGGGGUAAAAUCCGUAGAGAUCAAGAGGAAUACUCAUUGCGAAGGCGACCUGCUGGAACAUUACUGACGCUGAUUGCGCGAAAGCGUGGGGAGCAAACAGGAUUAGAUACCCUGGUAGUCCACGCCCUAAACGAUGGAUGCUAGUUGUUGGAGGGCUUAGUCUCUCCAGUAAUGUAGCUAACGCAUUAAGCAUCCCGCCUGGGGAGUACGGUCGCAAGAUUAAAACUCAAAGGAAUAGACGGGGACCCGCACAAGCGGUGGAGCAUGUGGUUUAAUUCGAAGAUACACGAAGAACCUUACCUAGGCUUGACAUUGAGAGAAUCCGCUAGAAAUAGUGGAGUGUCUGGCUUGCUAGACCUUGAAAACAGGUGCUGCACGGCUGUCGUCAGCUCGUGUCGUGAGAUGUUGGGUUAAGUCCCGCAACGAGCGCAACCCCCUUUCUUAGUUGCUAACAGGUCAUGCUGAGAACUCUAAGGAUACUGCCUCCGUAAGGAGGAGGAAGGUGGGGACGACGUCAAGUCAUCAUGGCCCUUACGCCUAGGGCUACACACGUGCUACAAUGGGGUGCACAAAGAGAAGCAAUACUGCGAAGUGGAGCCAAUCUUCAAAACGCCUCUCAGUUCGGAUUGUAGGCUGCAACUCGCCUGCAUGAAGCUGGAAUCGCUAGUAAUCGCAAAUCAGCCAUGUUGCGGUGAAUACGUUCCCGGGUCUUGUACUCACCGCCCGUCACACCAUGGGAGUUGUGUUUGCCUUAAGUCAGGAUGCUAAAUUGGCUACUGCCCACGGCACACACAGCGACUGGGGUGAAGUCGUAACAAGGUAACCGUAGGUGAACCUGCGGUUGGAUCACCUCCUUUCUAGA
rnacentral:rRNA from 1 species